rnacentral:rRNA from 1 species
GACGAACGCUGGCGGCGUGCUUAACACAUGCAAGUCGAACGAAGUGGGGAACGGGUGAGUAAUAAGUGAGUAACCUGCCCUCCUGUAGGGGAUACGCCUUGGAAACGGGGCCUAAUACCGAAUAAUGGGGGCUGGGCUCGCGGCCUUUCAGCUUGUUGGUGGGGUGAUGGCCUACCAAGGCGGGGACGGGUAGUCGUCCUGAGAGGGUGACAGGCCACAUGGGGCCUGAGGUACGGCCCAGACUCCUAUGGGAGGCAGCAGUGGGGGAUAGUGAACAAGGGGCGAAACGCUGAUGCAGCGACGCAGCGUGGGGGAUGUAGGCUUUCGCGUUGUAAACCUCUUUGGCUAUAGAACGGGUAGGGGCAGAAGAAGCUCCGGCUAACUACGUGCCAGCAGCCGCGGUAAUAC